AGAGUUUGAUCAUGGCUCAGAAUCAACGCUGGCGGCGCGCUUAACACAUGCAAGUCGAACGAGAAAGCGGGGGCAACCUCGUGAGUAAAGUGGCGUACGGGUGAGUAACACGUGGGUAAUCUACCUCCUUGUGGGGAAUAACGCUGGGAAACCGGCGCUAAUACCGCAUAAUCCCGAGAGGGGAAAGCCGCAAGGCGCAGGGAGAGGAGCCCGCGGCCGAUUAGCUAGUUGGUAGGGUAAAAGCCUACCAAGGCAAAGAUCGGUAGCCGGCCUGAGAGGGCACACGGCCACACUGGCACUGAAACACGGGCCAGACUCCUACGGGAGGCAGCAGUGGGGAAUCUUGCACAAUGGGGGAAACCCUGAUGCAGCGACGCCGCGUGAGCGAUGAAGCCCUUCGGGGUGUAAAGCUCUUUCGGCAGGGACGAUGAUGACGGUACCUGCAGAAGCAGCUGCGGCUAACUACGUGCCAGCAGCCGCGGUAAUACGUAGGCAGCGAGCGUUGUUCGGAGUUACUGGGCGUAAAGGGUGCGUAGGCGGCUCCUUAAGUUUGGUGUGAAAUCUCCCGGCUCAACUGGGAGGGUGCGCCGGAUACUGAGGGGCUAGAGUGCGGGAGAGGAAAGUGGAAUUCCUGGUGUAGCGGUGAAAUGCGUAGAUAUCAGGAGGAACACCGGUGGUGUAAACGGCUUUCUGGACCGUAACUGACGCUGAGGCACGAAAGCGUGGGGAGCAAACAGGAUUAGAUACCCUGGUAGUCCACGCCCUAAACGAUGCACGUUUGGUGUGGGUGAUUCAGUUCAUCCGUGCCGGAGCUAACGCGUUAAACGUGCCGCCUGGGGAGUACAGUCGCAAGGCUGAAACUCAAAGGAAUUGACGG
rnacentral:rRNA from 1 species